UUAUACACCAACCCUAAAAACAUAAGCAGCAGAUUGUCAGCAAGGGAGGAGAAUCGGAAAUAAAAGUCCACUGUUAUAAGAUGAGACAGCUAGUUACAACAAUAUUGCUUUCCCUAAUGGCAUUAUUCAUGACAGUACAGUAAUUACUACAGCCUGCAGACCACUGUUUCCCCCCUAAAUCAUAUUAUGACAUGUCUAAUCUUAAUCAUGAAACAGUUUGCAUUUUUAUACUGUAAUUUCAAUUUGCAUUUGUUUAAAAAAAUCAGUGGAAAAAUAAAUUUGAUCCAAAACCUUAGAUUCUGAAAAAUAACCUUUCACAAAACCUAAAGCAAAAAGGUUUUCUUUAAAUUCCAGAUGAAACAGAUUUUCUUUUAAAAUAAAUAAUUGUUCCUCUGCCAUGUUUGCAACCCUAAUAUGGAAGCAUGGUGCUAGUACAUGAAAUUGAAAUUAUCCAGAAAGAGACUAUAAAUUAAAGUAAAACUGACAUCUAUUUUCAUUGUCCAAGAUGAGAAAAAAUGCAAAAAGUAAACAGCACUGACACUGAUACAUUAAAAUUAUAGAACUUUAAAAAUCUAAUCAGAGGGAUUAUUAUAGCAUGUGGGCAAGGACUUUUAAAAAAUUUUUAAUUUGACAAUUGUCCCUUUAAGAUUAGUAUGUGCUUAAAAAUCAGCAAAAACAAUUCAGCAUACUUAAUCUCAUUGAAAGGUCAUAGUACAGCGGGCUGCCUAGUUAGUUCUUUGUGCUAGAGAUGGACAAAAUGGGGCUGUGCUUCGUUUUGAAUGUGGGUUCCAUUUUUGUCCAUACUUCUAAAAUUUGUGGGGUCUGGGGAGGAUAAUGAUAAAUGGUUCUGGUUUGGGUCAAGACAGAAUCCUGGAUUCAAAUUCUCAGUCUUGGUGAAAUCCUAAUGUCAUUAAAGUCAAUGGUAAAAUUUCCAUUAACUUCAGUUGGGCCAGGAUUUCAUUGCAGGUCUCUUGUAGUAAAGGGGAAGAUAUUUUUUUAACAGCAAGCCUCAUAUGUCACCACAGCAAUUCAAAAUUGACUGGCUCGGAAAUGAGUGCCAUUCAGCUCUCAGGCAGUAAGACUACUUUAGUCCCAAAUGUCGGUUUGGGAGGGUAGAGAGCAGGAAAGCCAAAUAUUAAAUAUACAGUGCAAAUCCUAGUAAGGUUGUAGAGAUACAUUAGAGAUGCACAACAUUUUU